rnacentral:misc_RNA from 1 species
GGUGUGUAACCUUCUGCUUCACUUUAAAUUCACAUAGGCAUUUUACACCACCCAAGGGUAAAUUGCACAGGUGAUUUACGCUCCCAUGGUAGUUUACACACCAUCAGGGUGUGUAAUUCUGCACUUCUGAAAUUUGAUCCAAAAACCAUAUUUUGUGGAACGGUCUGUCUGAACGCCUUCUGAACAAUGAAUUUAAGUGUCAUUCCUUCUCAUUGAAUGCAUGAAUUCUCCUAAGCAACAAAUUAACCCUGUAAAAGUAAAAAAAAUAAUCAUUUAAAACUUAAAUUAAGCAAGAAAGAAGUAAUAAACUAGAACUCAUAAAAAGU